rnacentral:rRNA from 1 species
CAAGUCGAGCGAAUCAAUGGGAGCUUGCUCCCUGAGAUUAGCGGCGGACGGGUGAGUAACACGUGGGUAACCUGCCUGUAAGAUUGGGAUAACUCCGGGAAACCGGGGCUAAUACCGGAUAAUACUUCGAACCGCAUGGUUUGAAGUUGAAAGAUGGCUUCGGCUAUCACUUACAGAUGGACCCGCGGCGCAUUAGCUAGUUGGUGAGGUAACGGCUCACCAAGGCAACGAUGCGUAGCCGACCUGAGAGGGUGAUCGGCCACACUGGGACUGAGACACGGCCCAGACUCCUACGGGAGGCAGCAGUAGGGAAUCUUCCGCAAUGGACGAAAGUCUGACGGAGCAACGCCGCGUGAACGAUGAAGGCCUUCGGGUCGUAAAGUUCUGUUGUUAGGGAAGAACAAGUACCAGAGUAACUGCUGGUACCUUGACGGUACCUAACCAGAAAGCCACGGCUAACUACGUGCCAGCAGCCGCGGUAAUACGUAGGUGGCAAGCGUUGUCCGGAAUUAUUGGGCGUAAAGCGCGCGCAGGUGGUUUCUUAAGUCUGAUGUGAAAGCCCACGGCUCAACCGUGGAGGGUCAUUGGAAACUGGGGAACUUGAGUGCAGAAGAGGAAAGUGGAAUUCCAAGUGUAGCGGUGAAAUGCGUAGAGAUUUGGAGGAACACCAGUGGCGAAGGCGACUUUCUGGUCUGUAACUGACACUGAGGCGCGAAAGCGUGGGGAGCGAACAGGAUUAGAUACCCUGGUAGUCCACGCCGUAAACGAUGAGUGCUAAGUGCUAGAGGGUUUCCGCCCUUUAGUGCUGCAGCUAACGCAUUAAGCACUCCGCCUGGGGAGUACGGUCGCAAGACUGAAACUCAAAGGAAUUGACGGGGGGCCCGCACAAGCGGUGGAGCAUGUGG